rnacentral:lncRNA from 1 species
AUUAGAUUAAAUUAUUUAUUGAUUGUUUUAAUUGAAGAUAGAUUUAUUAUAGUAAUUAUUUAUAGUAGAUUUCUGUUAAACAGGAGUAUUUAUCGUACCGGUAUAUCAUUCUUCCGUCGUAGUAUUGUGAUAAUGUCUUUAGUAUGACAAAAGUGCUUUCUUGUGUUGAUAACAUAUACCUCUCCAUUAUACAUAUAUAUAUAGGUACGGCCAUCUUUAAUUCCUCAUGUAAUAUAUUUUGAUUUGUAAAUCAUUAAAUUUGAAUUUUAAGAACACCC